GUUGCCCUUGGAGACAGGGGUGGUUUGGGUUCUUCGGCUCUAAUCGCUGGUCAGGCCUUUGGUCGGUGAGGCGUGUUGGGUGCAGUUAGCGCCACUCGCCAGGCUCUGUCACUUCUUGGGUUGCGAGAAGGUCCCGACUUGACUCUGCUCCACGGAGUGUGGCCACUCGAGCCGUGCUCCGCCCAGGGUCCAGUUGCCUUCUCUUUUUAUUGCUUUUGUGUCCUGUUAUUAAUUAGGAAAGGGUGUGUGUUUGUAUUUGAGCUGACAGAAAGGCAACCAUCUUUUACUAUUGUUUGAGUGUAUUCAUUCGUUCAUCAAGUGCGCUUUGAACACCUAGAGAAUGUGUUCUAUAGAUUACACCUCACCUCCUGCCUCCUUAACACUCUCAUCUCUGACAUCGGUUUCCUUACAUCACUAAAACUUCGCUCGUUUGUGGCAGUCUCUAAUCAAACCUGAUGGAUUUCUCGUGAUUCCUGUGAAGUACCUUUGCAUUGUCAUCAGCUGAGUACAGCCUUUUAACACUGCUACCUUUUUUCAUUGUCACUCCAAAUCACUCAUAAGAAUUCAGAAGCUCAAACAUCACAGCAGGCAACAUCUCCCAUUCUGGGCUCCAGACUAAAUAAAUACCUGUUGACUUAA